UAAAGAUAAGAAGAAAAAGAAGAAAGACAAGAAAAAGAAGAAGAAGAAGGACAAGAAAAAGGAUGAAGAGCAGAAUGAACUCAGCUGUGCUACUGCUCUUUCAGCAGCUGGUGGUGAGAUCGCAGGAACAAGUGCUGACGGAGAUAAAAAGAAAGCUGAAGAUGCUGAAAAGGCCAAGAAAGAGCUUAAAGCAACAGAAGAGGGUAAACUGUCCUCUCCGUUGGCUGCAGGGGAAGCACAGGCAUUCCCUGAUGGCAUCGAGGAAGGCCACCUGAGUGAUGAUGAGGGAGAAGGAAGGGAGGAGAAGGGGAAGGAGAAGAAGAAGAAGUUGAAGAAGAAGAAGAAGAAGGAGGAGGAUUCUGGCUCAUCUUCAGACAGCGAUGAUGACAAAAAAGACAAGAAGAAGAAAAAGAAGAAGAAGAAGGAAAAGGACUCCUCCAGCUCCUCCUCUUCUUCAUCUGAUAGCUCCUCCUCAGACAGCGAAGAUGACAAGAAGAAGAAGAAAAAGAAGAAGAAGAAGAAGAAGAAGGGGAAGAAGAAGAAGGAUAAGGAUUCCAGUUCUUCCUCCUCUGAUAGUGAAGAUGACAAGAAGAAGAAG